GCCCCGCCUUAGCCACCUCCUCCAUCGCUCCGCCCCGCUCCAUCGCGCCUGCGUAGUUAGGGGGUCGGCGCCCUUCGCUGGAGAAGCAGUUGCAGUUGGUCGGGCGCAGUGUUCUGAUUCUUUGGCUGCUGGGCAGCCGGCGGAGUCCGUGACGAGGCAGCGGGGACAGGGUGGCGGUUUCUGGCUCGGGCUGGGGCCGGCGGGAGCACGAACGAGCGACGGCGGAAACCGUGGGCCUGUGGACGGCGGCCUCAGCAGCCAGAAGUUAAGGGUGAAAAUGGGAUGGAAGAUUGUGUCAUGGCCCUAGAAACCUUGUUUAGUGUUCUGCUUUCUCUUUACAGACUUAAAUGGCUCCCUACACGCCUUUUCUCACUGAAUUGAUGUACCAGAAUCUAAAGGUGCUGAUUGACCCUGUUUCUGUUCAAGACAAGGACACACUCAGCAUCCACUACCUCAUGCUGCCCUGUGUUCGAGAAGAAUUGAUUGAUAAGAAAACAGAGUGCAGUAUCUCGGAUGCAGUCUGUGAUUGAACUUGAAAGAGUGAUCAGAGACUGCAAAACUAUUCCCAUAAAGUAUCCUUCGAAAGACAUUGUGGUUAUCCAUCAAGAUCCAGAAGCUCUUAAAGAUAUCAAGUCUUUGGAGAAAUAUGUCAUUGAGGAAUUGAAUGUCCAAAAAGUUACAGAUAAAAACAAGUACGGCAUUCGGCAAAGGGCAGAACCAGAUCACAUGGUCCUGGGGAAGUGUCUGAAGGGAGUCUUUAAGGCAGCAAUGACAACCAUCAAGCAGCUGAGCAGUGAGGAGCUGGAGCAGUUCCAAAAGACUGGGACCGUUGUUGUGGAAGGCCACGAAUUGCAUGAUGAAGACAUCUGCCUCAUGUACACCUUUGAUCAGGCCACAGGCUUUGGUGCUCUUUGAUGUCACUCCUGACCAGUCAAUGGUGGAUGAAGGAAUGACUCGAGAAGUCAUCAGUCACAUACAGAAACUUCACAAAAAGUGCCAUCUGGUCCAACUGAUGAAAUCAGAGUGAAGAUAUCUGAGUAAUGUUUUGAAAGCCACACAGAGUUCAUAUUUGCCACCAUAAAGGCUCCCUUGAAACAAUAUCCAGCUCCUCCAUCAGAUAAAAUCCUUAUUCAAGAAAAAACAGUUGAAGGGAUCUGAGCUGGAAAUUCCACUUACCAGAGGAUCUUCCCUUCCUGGUCCUGCUUGUCUAUACAUCAAUCUUAACAUUUGUGCAAAUGGCAGUGAACUAGAUGGGGAGCAGAGGAGCAAAGACGGGGAGCAACUGGCUCAAGGUCACAGAGAGUGUGAAGGAAUGAAUGGUGUAUCAGAAGGGUUCAGGAAAUCAACGAAACUUCCUGCUGUCUGAUUCCACGCAACAUGCUUUGAACUUGGUCCUGCGAGGAUGCGCUGAUGACUAAGUGAAGGCGUGAUUAGUCCCUCGCCCUCCAGCGGGAGCGGUACCUCUUUACCUCUUGGCAGCCACAUCGCUCCACAGCAGGGUGAUGUUGGGGGACAGGCGGCUGGGCGCGGCCCCAGUGAUCUAGGGCGUCACAGCCACGCUGCAUUCCCGACUUCACAUCAACAGCCACCGGCAGCUUCCUCAGGAACCUUGGGGACUCUCGGGAGCCCCAGCAAGCAGCCUCGGGGAGCAGCCCGGGGCUGGGCGUGGGCUCCGCUCCUCCGGCGCGGCGUGGGCGAGGGGAGCGGCGCUCGCAACGCACCCAGGAGCCCGACGCCGCCCAGGUCUGCGCCGCUGCUAGUGCCAGGCGGGCGACGGUCAGUUACCAGGGAUCGGGGCGGGGGAGAGUGUGUGCGGGGGUCCCCGCGUUCCCGGGAACCUCCUUAGCCUUCCUACCCAGUCUGACUCCUCCUCCUCCAGGCGCGGGGCUCGUGUCCGCCACCGCCGGCGCGCACCGCGCCUCCGCCCGCGUCCCCCCAAUUUUCCCCCCGCCCCAGCUCCUGCCACCGUUUUCCCCCUCUUCCUUCGCCCAUCACCGCCACUACGAACGCCUUCGUCUCCUUCUACACCUCGCGCCGCCGCCGCUCCUCGCGCUCGGCUCUGGCUUCCACCAGCCCAUCGCUCCACGCUCGCUCGGCUGCUGAAGUCUCAGUCUCUCUCUCUCUCUCUCUCUCUCUCUCUCUCUCUCUCUCUCUCUCUCUCUCUCUCUCUCUCUUUCCUAUCUCUCUCUUUCUCUCUCUCUCUCUUUCCUAUCUCGUCAAUAUCAGGGCAAAAGGAAGAGCACAGCGAAUUCUGCUCGCCGUUUCAGAGCGACGGUGAUUAAGACAAAAUUGAACAUCUACAACAUGCAGUUGCUGCUUUUUGUUUUCUUGGUGUGGGACCCUGCCAGGUUGGUGCUGGCUAACAUCCAAGAAGAUGAGGCUAAAAAUAACAUUACCAUCUUUACAAGAAUUCUUGACAGACUUCUGGAUGGUUACGAUAAUCGGCUUAGACCAGGACUGAGAGUUUCCAGAGUGGACCAGUCUGUGUAACAUAGCCUUCAAGAGCCAGAACAAAGGGACCCAAACUCAAAUGCUGUCCAUGGGCAGAACAAAUAAAGGAAUGAGUGGAGCAUAAUGGAGACUGAAGAACUGGAGAGCACAUUUCUUGUAUGAAGGGGAUUGAGUUUUAUCUGAUUAUUACCACAUAAGUGUUUAAAAUCAGAGUGGCCAAAUACUCCAAUUAUUUUUCAAAUGUUGUUGAAGAUCUCCAUUUUUAUGGAAAUUUUUCUUAAGUCUUAAAGGUCAACCAAUUUUUAUUUAAAUCAAAAUAAACAAAAUCUGUUCUUCCCAAACAAAUUGCACUUGAGUAUUAGUUUGCAGCCUCUGGCCCUAAACCAAGACUUCUCAUAAAGGGUAUGAAGAAAUCAGUUGGAGAGCUUAUUAAAGCAAAUUUAACAAAUCUUCAAAGGCUCAUUCAGAUUUCGUAUGGUCCCAGAACUAUAUUUCAUCAAAUGAUUCUGAUGCUUAUGGUCCAAACACUGGAUUGAGUCAUCUGUUUUCAAGGUUCUGGUUAAAAAUGAUAGUUUCUUUCUUCUUUCUCUUAUAGUACUUUGUUUGAACUCCUUUUAGUUAAAAGGGAAAAAUAAAUGUGGAUAGUAAGAUUGGUCUCUUACCAGAUGAGUCUAGCUAGCAUUUUCCUCAAUAACAUCAAAGAGGGGCCUUUGUCCCACAUUGUUCUGAGCUGGCAGUCAGUAUUAUAAGGUCAGAGUCCUACUUUUAUUUAGUAAUUGGAUUAGUUAGAAUUAACUGGCUUAUGCUUCAGUAAUAACUUUCCAAUUUUAUCUCUCUUUCAUGUAUCUUAUUCACGAUCCAACCUUGUUCACUGAGGCUCUCUUUCAUGUCAUCCUUACUAAGGGUCUCAGGUUGAUGAACUUCCACCAUCUAAAAUGUUGCUAGCCACUGGGACAGAUGUCUAGCAACAGAUGUCUAGGGGAAAGAUGUGGCUAGGUGCACAUUGUUACUUAAAGCUUCUGCCCAGAUAUGACACAAUGUCCUUCUGCCCACAGUCCCUUGUUCAAAGGAAGCCAUAUAAACAUGUUCAACUUCAAAGGGGCAGGGAAGUGCAGCCCUACCAUUUACUCAGAAGUGGAAGAACUAGUAAUAUUUGUCAAGUAACUUAAUGAUUACCACACUUGGCAAGCAGAACCCAUUUCUCAGAGUGCAAAUCAUCUUCCAUAGUGACUGAUUAUGCAAACUGCUUGGUGAAACAGGUUGUAUCUCAUUUUAAAAUAUAUAAUUCUGCAACUCUGUUUUGUCUGUAACAUGCAUAAAAUGUUUAUGAAGUUAACUACUACAUGAAAUUAAUUAUUAUGAAGGUAUGAGAUCAACAACAAUUUUUGGAUAUAGUAUCCAAAAUUUUAUAUACCUUCUGUUUUUUUGGUGUUAGAAGGAGGUGCUGUAUGCCCUUUUUCCCUAGCUCCCAGGAAUAAAGUGCUUUGUCAAUUGUACUGAGAAGACAUAGUUCCAGUUGAAGAUAUUUAAAAAGAGAUAGUCUUUGAAGUGUUAGUCUGAAAUUUCAACCUCUGUAACAGUAAUUGCUAGGGAGAAUGGAGUUAGAUAGGUGAGGAACAGAGACCACGUCUGCUUUGCUACUGUGUCCUCAGUGACUGGAACAGUAUGUAUGUAGAAUUCACCAUUUGUCAAUUGAUUAUGUAUGUGAAUCAUAUAUGUAAAAACAGACAUAUAUGUACUUCAGAGAGCUACUUAUUUUGGGUUCUCAGAAACAUUUUUGACAUUCAACAAUCAAUUUUGUCUACAUAUUUGAGUGGUUUAGACUUCUGACAUUGCUAAAAAUGAGUCAGCCUUCUCAGAAACAAUAUUGAUUGAUAGAUGGGUUCAAAUACUCUGCUGAACCUUAAAUUCAGUAGCACAUAAAAUUAGAACCAUUGUGUUGAACCUGGAUUUAAUAUAGUGAAAUGGACUAAUUCAGUAGCCCUUGCCGCUACUGCAUUUUAGACCAGCUGAGCAGUGAUCAUGAGCAAAGGCUCAGUUGUCUGUAAUGCAUGCAGCACUGCCUCCUAACACCACAACAAAAGCUAUGAAAGUGCUAUUAGUUGCACAUGACAGAAACCAACACAAGAACUACAACAAUGUAUUUCAAAAGCUUGAGAAACAUAAGCCUAAAAUGCCUAUGUUGAGAUUUUGCAAAACUAUUAUUAAUUUCAUACAAACCAUUUAAUUUUUUUCAAUUGUCUUAAAGAGGCUGUUAAUUAAGUUAUAAGAUAAUGUGAAUCAUACUAAAUUAUAAUUUCUAACAGGUUUUGAGAAUGAGGUACCGUGCUAAGCACUUUACAUAUCAUUUAAUACUCAUUAUAACUCCCAUAAGAUAGAUAAAUUGAUGACCCCUACCUUACAAGCAAGGAAAUGAGAGGCAGAAACCAAUUACUUGCCUUUUGCCACCUAAUUAUUUUGUGAUGGCAUGGAUAUUCUACCCAAUAUAAUUGUCUCAAGAACCUUUCUCGAGAGUUUCAUCAAUCAGGAAUUAAGCACCCUCAAAUCCAACAAAGGUGGUUCAAUGAGUAUAUCUAUGCUUUGAAGGAGGAGGUCACUAUUUGUUGCAUUUGUAUAAUCAUUAGCCUCUAGAUAAGUACCUCUGGAAGGGGAAGAAUGGUGUACAGUUUUAUUCUUUUAUUUGUUUAGGUGUUCUCAUUGUCACAUUUCUUGGUCAUCCUGACUUUGACAUAUAUCCAGACUUGAAUAUAGUUUUAGGCAUGAAGGAUCAGAAAGGAUAGUGCUUAGCAGAAAAUCUUGUAGGGCAUUGUAAAUUAAAGCCAGAAUCUUUUACUCUCACUGCUGAUUUUACUCCCUUACUGUGUGAAUCAGAGCUUUUGGUAUUAUUAUGCCAAAGAAUAGCUAAUGAGAAGGUGAUAAGAAGACUAGGUAGAUACGUGGUCUAGGUAGGCAAUCCCAGCGUUUCUCAGUACAUAGUACUUGAGUUAUUUGUAAAAUUACUAAUACAAGGAUGCAAUUGUUCACAUAAAUUUCAAUCAUGUUAAGCUUAUUAUAAGUGAUUUCAAAGGACUAUGGUAAUGUGAAGAAGGGAUACGUAUAUGAAAGGCAAAUAGAUUGCAUAUUAAAUACUAGAGUCCUCUUUUCGGAUGCAUUGGGUUACAAUUGCUUCUUUUCUCUUUGUCCGCGUUUGACCCAUGUUCAUCUUAUGAGAUGCAAUAUAGUGUACUUUGGAAAAGAUCAGGCUUUGGAGCCUGACAAACUCGGGUUUGUAUUCUAGUUUGAGCGACUUCUUACCAUCUGUUUUUUGUACAUGAGUUGCCUCUUCUGAUCCUCAAUUUCUUCAUCAGUAAAAUAAGUCUAAAAUACUGACACUUAUAGCAAAGUUGUUAAGAUUAAAUGAAAUUAUUUGUAAUAUUCCUGUAAUAGUAUCUGGCAGUGUUUGUUGUUCUCUAGUGGUCAACUUCCCACAUGCCCUUUCAUUUCUGCUAACAUGUCAUAGUGUGGAGAUUUGAUCACAGUUUAGGAAAUAAUGAGUGAAAAUGAGAGAUGCUCUAAAAAAUAGGACAUGAGAUAGUUAUUUUUACUAUGAGAAUUCAUGGAGUCUGAUAGUCUUUAUUUAACUGUGUAUCCUAGGGUUACAUGUGAUUAAACUUCUCCUUUGUGGGAUGCCCUUUACGUAGAAGUUUAUUGCAAAACUCUCCAUAGAAUUUGUAAAUUGCAUAAUAUUUCUUGCCAUACACUGGAAGUAAAUGAAAAGGAAUUGUAGAUUUUGGGAUUACAUCUGUGGAAAUACAGAACCAAACAGGAGAAUAAGGUGUUUCUGAGAAAACCUGUGCAGCAGAAUAAAUGAUAGUUUAACUUCAUCUGGCUUUUCUUUAGAAAUUUAGACUCCCAUAAAUAUGUUGUAUUUCCUAUGUAUAAAUAUUAGACAAUAGUGAUCUAAUUACAUGAGAGUUUUUGUUAGGUUUCAUAACAUGAUACUUAUGAUUUCUUCAAAACUUAAAAAGGUAGCUUUUUAAAAUAAUUGAAAGUGUUAUGCAAUAGAUAAUUUUUUUUUUAAAUUUUUAUUGGAUUUAAGGUUUUGGGGUACAUGAGCAGAGCAUGCAAGACAGUUGCGUAGGUACACACAUGGCAGUGUGCUUUGCUUUUCUUCUCCCCUUCACCCACAUUUGGCAUUUCUCCCCAGGCUAUCCCUCCCCACCUCCCCCUCCCACUGGUCCUCCCCUUUUCCCCCCAAUAGACCCCAGUGUUUAGUACUCCCCUUUCUGUGUCCAUGUGUUCUCAUUUUUCAUCACCCACCUAUGAGUGAGAAUAUGCGGUGUUUCAUUUUCUGUUCUUGUGUCAGUUUGCUGAGGAUGAUGUUCUCCAGAUUCAUCCAUGUCCCUACAAACGACACGAACUCAUCAUUUCUGAUUGCUGCAUAAUAUUCCAUGGUGUAUAUGUGCCACAUUUUUCCAAUCCAGUCUAUUAUCAAUGGGCAUUUGGGUUGAUUCCAGGUCUUUGCUAUUGUAAACAGUGCUGCAAUGAACAUUCGUGUACAUGUGUCCUUAUAGUAGAACGAUUUACAGACUUUUGGAUAUAUACCCAGUAAUGGGAUUGCUGGGUCAAAUGGAAUUUCUAUUUCUAAGGCCUUGAGGAAUCGCCACACUGUCUUCCACAAUGGUUGAACUAAUUUACACUCCCACCAACAGUGUAAAAGUGUUCCUUUUUCUCCACAUCCUCUCCAGCAUCUGUUGUCUCCAGAUUUUUUAAUGAUCGCCAUUCUAACUGGUGUGAGAUGGUAUCUCAAUGUGGUUUUGAUUUGCAUCUCUCUGAUGACCAGUGACGAUGAGCAUUUUUUCAUAUGAUUGUUGGCCUCAUAUAUGUCUUCUUUCGUAAAGUAUCUGUUCAUAUCCUUUGCCCACUUUUGAAUGGGCUUGUUUGUUUUUUUCCUGUAAAUCUGUUUGAGUUCUUUGUAAAUUCCGGAUAUCACCCCUUUGUCAGAUGGGUAGACUGUGAAAAUUUUUUCCCAUUCUGUUGGUUGCCAAUCCACUCUAGUGACUGUUUCUUUUGCCGUGCAGAAGCUGUGGAGUUUCAUUAGGUCCCAUUUGUCUAUUUUGGCUUUUGUUGCCAAUGCUUUUGGUGUUUUGUUCAUGAAGUCCUUGCCUACUCCUAUGUCCUGGAUAGUUUUGCCUAGAUUUCCUUCUAGGGUUUUUAUGGUGCCAGGUCUUAUGUUUAAGUCUUUAAUCCAUCUGGAGUUAAUUUUAGUGUAAGGUGUCAGGAAGGGGUCCAGUUUCUGCUUUCUGCACAUGGCUAGCCAGUUUUCCCAACACCAUUUGUUAAACAUGGAAUCCUUUCCCCAUUGCUUGUUUUGGUCAGGUUUAUCAAAGAUUGUAUAGUUGUAUGUAAGUUGUGUUGCCUCCGGUGCCUCUGUUUUGUUCCAUUGGUCUAUAUCUCUGUUUUGGUACCAGUACCAUGCUGUUUUGAUUACUGUAGCCUUGUAGUAUAGUUUGAAAUCUGGUAGUGUGAUGCCCCCCACUGUGUUCUUUUUGCUUAGAAUUGACUUGGCUAUGCGGGCUCUCUUUUGGUUCCAUAUGAAGUUCAUGGUGGUUUUUUCCAGUUCUGUGAAGAAAGUCAAUGGUAGCUUGAUGGGGAUAGCGUUGAUUCUGUAAAUUACUUUGGGCAGUAUAGCCAUUUUCACGAUAUUAAUUCUUCCUAACCAUGAACAUGGAAUGUUUCUCCAUCUGUUUGUGUCCUCUCUGAUUUUGUUGAGCAGUGGGUUGUAGUUCUCCUUGAAGAGGUCUCUUACGUUCCUUGUGAGUUGUAUUCCAAGGUAUUUUAUUCUUUUUGUAGCAAUUGCGAAUAGCAGUUCACUCUUGAUUUGGCUUUCUUUAAGUCUGUUAUUGGUGUAGACGAAUGCUUGUGAUUUUUGCACAUUGAUUUUAUAUCCUGAGACUUUGCUGAAGUUGCUUAUCAGUUUCAGGAGUUUUUGGGCUGAGGCAAUGGGGUCUUCUAGGUAUACUAUCAUGUCGUCUGCAAAUAGAGACAAUUUGGCUUCCACCUUUCCUAUUUGAAUACCCUCUAUUUCUUUUUCUUGCCUGAUUGCUCUGGCUAGAACUUCCAGUACUAUAUUGAAUAGGAGUGGUGAGAGAGGGCAUUCUUGUCUAGUGCCAGAUUUCAAAGGGAAUGCUUCCAGUUUUUGCCCAUUCAGUAUGAUAUUGGCUUUUGGUUUGUCGUAAAUAGCUUUUAUUACUUUGAGAUACGUUCCAUCAAUACCGAGUUUAUUGAGAGUUUUUAGCAUAAAGAGCUGUUGAAUUUUGUCAAAUGCCUUCUCUGCGUCAAUUGAGAUAAUCAUGUGGUUUUUGUUUUUGGUUCUGUUUAUGUGGUGAAUUACGUUGAUAGACUUGCGUAUGUUGAACCAGCCUUGCAUCCCUGGGAUGAAUCCUACUUGAUCAUGAUGAAUAAGUUUUUUGAUUUGCUGUUGCAAUCGGCUUGCCAAUAUUUCAUUCAAGAUUUUUGCAUCUAUGUUCAUCAUGGAUAUUGGCCUGAAGUUUUCUUUUCUUGUUGGGUCUCUGCCAGGUUUUGGUAUCAGGAUGAUGUUGGUCUCAUAAAAUGAUCUGGGAAGGAUUCCCUCUUUUUGGAUUGUUUGAAAUAGUUUUAGAAGGAAUGGUACCAGCUCCUCCUUUUUUGUCUGGUAGAAUUCGGCUGUGAACCCGUCUGGACCUGGGCUUUUUUUGUGUGGUAGGCUCUUAAUUGCUGCCUCAACUUCAGACCUUGUUAUUGGUCUGUUCAUAGUUUCAGCUUCCUUUUGGUUUAGGCUUGGGAGGACACAGGAGUUCAGGAAUUUAUCCAUUUAUUCCAGGUUUACUAGUUUAUGCGCCUAUAGUUGUUUGUAAUAUUCUCUGAUGAUGGUUUGAAUUUCUGUGGAAUCUGUGGUGAUUUCCCCUUUAUCAUUUUUUAUUGCAUCUAUUUUGUUGUUCUCUCUUUUCUUUUUAAUCAAUCUGGCUAGUGGUCUGUCUAUUUUGUUGAUCUUUUCAAAAAACCAGCUCUUGGAUUUAUUGAUUUUUUGAAGGGUUUUUCGUGUCUCAAUCUCCUUCAGCUCAGCUCUGAUCUUAGUUAUUUCUUGUCUUCUGCUGGGUUUUGAGUUUUUUUGAUCUUGCACCUCUAGCUCUUUCAAUUUUGACGAUAGGGUGUCAAUUUUGGAUCUCUCCAUUCUCCUCAUAUGGGCACUUAUUGCUAUAUACUUUCCUCUAGAGACUGCUUUAAAUGUGUCCCAGAGGUUCUUGCACGUUGUGUCUUCGUUCUCAUUGGUUUCGAAGAACUUCUUUAUUUCUGCCUUCAUUUCGUUGUUUACCCAGUCAACAUUCAAGAGCCAGUUGUUCAGUUUCCAUGAAGCUGUGUGGUCCUGGGUCGGUUUCUGAAUUCUGAGUUCUAACUUGAUUGCACUAUGGUCUGAGAGGCUGUUUGUUAUGAUUUCAGUUGUUUUGCAUUUGUUGAGCAGUGCUUUACUUCCAAUUAUGUGGUCAAUUUUAGAGUAGGUGUGAUGUGGUGCUGAGAAGAAUGUGUAUUCUGUGGAUUUGGGGUGGAGAGUUCUGUAAAUGUCUAUCAGGUUUGCUUGCUCCAGGUCUGAGUUCAAGCCCUGGAUAUCCUUGUUGAUUUUCUGUCUGGUUGAUCUGUCUAGUAUUGACAGUGGAGUGUUAAAGUCUCCCACUAUUAUUGUGUGGGAGUCUUAGUCCUUUUGUAAGUCAUUAAGAACUUGCCUUAUGUAUCUGGGUGCUCCUGCAUUGGGUCCAUAUAUGUUUAGGAUCGUUAGCUCUUCUUGUUGUAUCGAUACUUUUACCAUUAUGUAAUGGCCUUCUUUGUCUCUUUUGAUCUUUGUUGCUUUAAAGUCUAUUUUAUCAGAGAUGAGAAUUGUAACUCCUGCUUUUUUUUUCUUUCCAUUAGCUUGGUAAAUCUUCCUCUGUCCCUUUAUUUUGAGCCUUUGUGUAUCCUUGCAUGUGAGAUGGGUUUCCUGUAUACAGCACACUGAUGGGUUUUGGAUUUUUAUCCAAUUUGCCAGUCUGUGUCUUUUGAUUGGUGCAUUUAGUCCAUUUACAUUUAGGGUUAAUAUUGUUAUGUGUGAAUUUGAUACUGCCAUUUUGAUGCUAAGUGGCUGUUUUGCCUGUUAGUUGUUGUAGAUUCUUCAUUAUGUUGAUGCUCUUUAGCAUUCAGUGUGAUUUUGGAAUGGCUGGUACUGGUUGAUCCUUUCUAUGUGUAGUGCCUCUUUUAGGAGCUCUUGUAAAGCAGGCCUGGUGGUGACAAAAUCUCUGAGUACUUGCUUGUUUGCAAAGGAUUUUAUUUUUCCUUCACUUCUGAAGCUCAGUUUGGCUGGAUAUGAAAUUCUGGGUUGAAAGUUCCUUUCUUUAAGAAUGUUGAAUAUUGGCCCCCACUCUCUUCUGGCUUGUAGUGUUUCUGCCGAGAGAUCUGCUGUGAGUCUGAUGGGCUUCCCUUUGUGGGUGACCCGACCUUUCUCUCUGGCUGCCCUUAGUAUUCUCUCCUUUAUUUCAACCCUGUUGAAUCUGAUGAUUAUGUGCCUUGGGGUUGCUCUUCUUGCGGAAUAUCUUUGUUGUGUUCUCUGUAUUUCCUACAAUUGAGUGUUGGCCUGUCUUGCUAGGUGGGGGAAAUUUUCCUGGAUGAUGUCCUGAAGAGUAUUUUCCAGCUUGGAUUCAUUCUCUUCGUCCCCUUCUGGUACACCUAUCAAAGGUAGGUUAGGUCUUUUCACAUAGUCUCACAUUUCUUGGAGACUUUGUUCAUUCCUUUUUGCACUUUUUUCUCUGAUCUUGGUUUCUCAUUUUAUUUCAUUGAGUUGGUCUUUGACUUCAGAUAUUCUUUCUUCUGCUUAGUCAAUUCGGCUAUUGAAACUUGUGUUUGCUUCGCGAAGUUCUCGUAUUGUGUUUUUCAGCUCCUUUAAUUCAUUCAUAUUCCUCUCUAAGUUAUCCAUUCUUGUUAUCAUUUCCUCGAAUCUUUUUUCAAAUCUUUUUUCAAGGUUCUUAGUUUCUUUGCAUUGAUUUAAUACAUGAUCUUUUAGCUCACAGAAGUUUCUCAUUAUCCAUCUUCUGAAGUCUAAUUCCGUCAUUUCGUCGCAGUCAUUCUCCGUCCAGUUUUGUUCCCUUGCUGGUGAGGAGUUUUGGUCCUUUCUAGGAGGCGAGGUUUUCUGGUUUCGGGUGUUUUCCUCCUUUUUGCGCUGGUUUCUUCCCAUCUUUGUGGAUUUGUCCGCUGGUCGUCUGCAUAGUUGCUGACUUUUCGAUUGGGUCUCUGAGUGGACACCCAGAAUGUUGAUGAUGAAGUAUUUCUGUUACUUGGUUUUCCUUCUACCAGUCUAGCCCCUUCACUGUACGACUGCUGAGGUCCGCUCCAGACCCUCCUUGUCUGGGUUGCACCUCUAGCAGCUGUGGCACAGUGAGGGAUGCUACCAGUUUCUUUUUCUGCUAUCUUUGUACCAGGAUGAUGCCUGCCUAAAUGUCAGUCUUUUGGAUAUAGAGGGGUCAGGGAGCUGCUUGAGGAGACAGUUUGUACUUUAUAGGGGCUUAAUUGCUGAGCUGUGAGCUCUGUUGUUCAUUCAGGGCUGUUAGGCUGCUAUGUUUGAUUCUGCAGCAACAGAGCUCAUUAAAAAACCCUUUUUUUUUUCUCAAAUGCUCUGUGUUGAGGGGUUUGGGCUUUAUUUUUGGAUGUCCGUUGAGGUCCUGCCCAGCUAGGACACACACUAGCCACUCUUUGCCUGCCGAGGCUCCGCCCUGCUGUUGUGUGAUUCUCCCUGUUCCUGCAGGUUCUGCUGUGGUCUCUGCCAUGCCCUGCGGCGGAGUCUCUCUGUUGUAGUGGGUUGCCUCGGCACCGGCUUGCUGCAUCAGCAAUGGGCGUGUAUCUCAGUUGGGACGGGUUGCCUCGGUAAUGGUGGACGCCCCUCCCCCUCAGAGCAUCUCGGGCAGUCUGCCUGGGGCUUGUUUGAAAUCGCGGUUUUGCUCGUCCCACUGGGCCAACUCUAACGCUCUGUCCCUGCGAUCCCCUGGCUGGCCCACUGUCCAAGUCUAGCUCAGUCUCAAGUCCAGCCCUCUCACGUCUCCUGUUGCCGGUUCAACGGGGCACCUGGACAAGCGUGCCCUGUGGGGAGCACUGGGUAGGACCGGCCGCCGCCACCCCGGCUGCCUGCUUUGCAAGGCGGAGGUUCUGUCUGGUGUCCUGCGUCUCCUCUUCACUUGGGAAUUUCCCCGUUCCGUGGGCAACAAAGAUCAGUCUGGAAAUGCAGCUCAGACUCACCUUUCCGCGGACACAAUGCGAGCUUCAAUCCUGGGUUGUUCUCACAGCGCCAUCUUGAGUCCUCCUCCGCAAUAGAUAAUUUUUAAGACUUCUACUGAAAUGAGUAGGAGAUAGAGUUCUAGGAUAUCCCCAAAUUUCCUGUCAUAUGUUUUACAUGCCCUGCAUAAUUUCUGGGACUGUGACAGUGGUUUCACUCUGAUGAUUAGGUUUUGUUACAUAGCAUAGUUGAUUUUAACAAAGGGAGAUGAUCCAGGUGAGUCUGACCUAAUCACAUGAGCCUUUUAAAUCUAAAUCAAGAGGUCAGAGACAGAAAUGUCAGGGAUAUUUAAAACAUGAGGGAGAUUCUCCAUUGCUGGAGGGGCCACGUGGCAAGGAACACAGUAGCCUCUAGGAGAUGAGACUUGAGAGCCAGCAGGGAAAAUGGGAACCUAAUUCUACAGCUGCAAGGACCCAGAUAUGGCCAACAAUCUGAAAGAGCUUAGAAGCUGAUUCUUCCCCAGAGGCUCCAGAAAGGACCACAGCACACCAAUACCUUGAUUUUAGCUGUGUAAGACCCUGAGUGGAGAACAAAGACAUAGCAUGUUGGACUUCUAACCUACAGAACUAUGUGCCAUUAAAUGGAUAUUAUUUUACAUUGUUAAAUUUGUAAUAAUUUGUUACACGAUAGAAAACUAGUAUCUCUACUAAUUUUUAAAAUACAUUUUUUCGAUGUUUAACCUGUGCUAGUCACAGUGUACUUUACACCUACCAUCUCAUUUAAUUAUUUUAAAAAAACUGUAAGAUAGGCGUUAUAAGCUACGUUUAACAGAUAAGAAUAUUGAAGCACAUACAAGUUAAGUAAUAAGCAUAGGGUCACAAAGUAUUAGCGUAUAACUCUGAAUUGAAUUUAGAUCUCUUUAAUUCCAAGGUUUGGCAUCUUACAUGCCUCUUAAUUAUGUAGGAAUAGAUAUUUCAUGAAGAUGAUAACAAGUCAUCUACAGAAUAUCAUAUGGCAUUGAUGUGACAGUUUACCUACAAAAUAUCUUAUUUUUGAGCCUUCAGCAAGAGAAACAAUUUUAUUUUUUUAUAUGACAAGAUUACUAGUUGUAAAUGUUACAAUUUUAAAAAAUUACAUGUAAGUGUAUUCUUCCUUUAAAAUUGCCAUGAAAAAGUUUAAUUAUUUUCAAUAGGUUUUAUGGCUAUCAGUUAUACCUCCAAGUUUUCAUUAAAUGAAUAAAACUGCACAUUCCAAAAUGAUUAACUUUUAAAGUGCAUUAUUGGUCCAUUCAAAAUGUUUAAUUUUAUUUUUAUCAUCCUUGCUCAUAUUGAAUAAAUGCCUUUUAAAACCA